CUACCUAUAAGACUGGGAUAACUUCGGGAAACCGGAGCUAAUACCGGAUAAUAUUUUGAACCGCAUGGUUCAAAAGUGAAAGACGGUCUUGCUGUCACUUAUAGAUGGAUCCGCGCUGCAUUAGCUAGUUGGUAAGGUAACGGCUUACCAAGGCAACGAUGCAUAGCCGACCUGAGAGGGUGAUCGGCCACACUGGAACUGAGACACGGUCCAGACUCCUACGGGAGGCAGCAGUAGGGAAUCUUCCGCAAUGGGCGAAAGCCUGACGGAGCAACGCCGCGU
rnacentral:rRNA from 1 species